rnacentral:rRNA from 1 species
UAGGGAAUCUUCGGCAAUGGACGAAAGUCUGACCGAGCAACGCCGCGUGAGUGAAGAAGGUUUUCGGAUCGUAAAACUCUGUUGUUAGAGAAGAACAAGGACGUUAGUAACUGAACGUCCCCUGACGGUAUCUAACCAGAAAGCCACGGCUAACUACGUGCCAGCAGCCGCGGUAAUACGUAGGUGGCAAGCGUUGUCCGGAUUUAUUGGGCGUAAAGCGAGCGCAGGCGGUUUCUUAAGUCUGAUGUGAAAGCCCCCGGCUCAACCGGGGAGGGUCAUUGGGAACUGGGAAAAUUAGGUGCAGAAGAGGAGGGUGGAAUUUCAUGUGUAGCGGUGAAAUGCGUAGAUAUAUGGAGGAACACCAGUGGCGAAGGCGGCUCUCUGGUCUGUAACUGACGCUGAGGCUCGAAAGCGUGGGGAGCAAACAGG